CAGUCGCCGCGGGAACACGUAGGGUGCGAGCGUUAAUCGGAAUUACUGGGCGUAAAGCGUGCGCAGGCGGUUAUAUAAGACAGAUGUGAAAUCCCCGGGCUCAACCUGGGACCUGCAUUUGUGACUGUAUAGCUAGAGUACGGUAGAGUGGGAUGGAAUUCCGCGUGUAGCAGUGAAACGCGUAGAUAUGCGGAGGAACACCGAUGGCGAAGGCAAUCCCCUGGACCUGUACUGACGCUCAUGCAUGAAAGCGUGGGGAGCAAACGGAUUAGAUACCCGAGUAGUCCCUGUCUCUUAUACA
rnacentral:rRNA from 1 species